UACAGAGGGUGCAAGCGUUAAUCGGAGUUACUGGGCGUAAAGGGCGCGUAGGCGGCCACGCACGUCCGUUGUGAAAUCGCCCGGCUCAACUGGGCGGGGUCAGCGGAUACGGUGUGGCUCGAGCAAGCUAGGGGGCAAUGGAAUUCCCGGUGUAGUGGUGGAAUGCGUAGAUAUCGGGAGGAACACCAGUGGCGAAGGCGGUUGCCUGGAGCUUUGCUGACGCUGAGGCGCGAAAGCGUGGGGAGCGAUCCGG
rnacentral:rRNA from 1 species